UACGGGGGGGGCAAGCGUUGUUCGGAAUUACUGGGCGUAAAGGGCUCGUAGGUGGCCAACUAAGUCAGACGUGAAAUCCCUCGGCUUAACCGGGGAACUGCGUCGGAUACUGGAUGGCUUGAGUUCGGGAGAGGGAUGCGGAAUUCCAGGUGUAGCGGUGAAAUGCGUAGAUAUCUGGAGGAACACCGGUGGCGAAGGCGGCAUCCUGGACCGACACUGACACUGAGGAGCGAAAGCCAGGGGAGCAAACGGG
rnacentral:rRNA from 1 species